ACCUCUGAGGGGAAAGAAAAUAACACAAAAGAAAGUAGGUAACUAGUGGACUCCUUCUGCCAUGUUGAUGUAAUUACUGUAUAAAAACAGGACUGGAAAAUGCCCGGCUCAGUUAUUGUUUACCCCAGAACACCAUCUCUCCAAAUCCACCUGACUGCAGCAUGCAAAGAAUGCAUUAUCAGAGCUACAUCUCUGUCCCAGCAGUAUUUGGAGUGGCCAUUUUAAGGGAAUUCUAAAACAUAUUGCAUUUUUGAACCACAGUUCAUCUUCCUUUGGCAGCAUCUGAACAUUUAUGAGAAGUGGAACUGGCAGGGAGUCUGCUUAUAUUUUAAGAUCAAAAAAGACAACAGAUGUGGUACAGCAGUAAGAAAAAACAUCACCAGUAAUGCAAUGGUUUUCUUUUCUGAAACUCUGGCAUUAAAGUAGACUAACAUCUUGGAUCAGUGGGAAGAAUAAGCCAAUGAUUCUGCCUCAUCCUAACACUGUGUCCAGAUGUUCCUUGCAUUCACUGGGACCAGGGCUGGAGAUGCCUGAGGUGUCCCUUCCUGGGUAGUGAGGGACAUCUCGUGGGGAGAUGUCUGAGCACCUGAACUGGCAUCCCUGCUCUGCUCUGGGCAGUGUCCCUGGGGAAGCAGGAAGGCAAUGGUAACUUCUUAUCUCCUGGAAGACUUCCAAGGUGAAGUUUAUUUACAACUUUUAAGCCCUCUCUUAAAGCAAAAGAGUGGUUUUCAAAGUGCAGAUUUACACAGUCUUUUCUCAAUAGAACAUUUCCAGGCUACUUCUCCUCUCUAAGUGUUACAUCAUCUUAUGUCUUUCAGAUGCCUCUGGGUCUGAUGAUUAUAUGGACAAAACUGUUUUUAUACUGUCCUGUCUCAGCAGUCAGAGAGGGCAUUAAACUGGGUAUGGAUGUAACAGACUAGUUCUUUCAACUGUAUCAAGCUGGUACUGUGAGCAGAGCAACAAACUAAAUGUAAGCUGGACCUCUUUUUCUUUGGAGCUAAGCUAAAAUGGAUUUUAAAAAAACCAAAGGAACAAUACAUUAAAAAAAUCCCAUGGUUAUUUGUCACCUCUUUUGAAUCUGAAACUGUUUAGCUGGAUCCAUUGCAGUUCUGCUUUUUUUCCUAAUUAGGAAAUCAGGAGUUAAUUUUCCCUACCAAGGGACCAGUGAUAAAUGGACAUAAAAAUAUGGGUAAGUACUGGGCAGAACUUUCAAGACAGAAUGACAUUGAUAUAAACCUUAGGAAACAAAAAACAAUUCCUGCCUGAAGUACAACAUGAUAAGAAGUGUUUCUUCUGGCUUUUAGAGUUUUAACCAGAAAUAAUUGAGAUUAAUAGAUUCUUUUUCACAAGACCUGAGUUAAUUUGCACAGUUUAGAGGUUGGAUUAAUUUCUGCCUCAGCUUCAGUGCUAAAACAUUUCUGUGUUUUAUUGAUAAAAAUUAAGUGUCCUGGGAACAAUUCCAAACCAAGCACACCAGUUUGAAGACAUAUGCAUACAAAGUUUUCAAAUAAAUCUACCUUACAACUUUGUUUCUUUGGAAAAAAAACAACCAAAACAACUUUCUUCAAACAAACUUUGAACUAUUCCAUUUUAUUAAAGGUUAUUUGUAGUUCAUCACUCCAUGAAUUGCAUUUCCUUUCUCCCAGGGCAGCAGUGCCCAUCAUUUGGCUUUCCCCUGAAUCCCUGUGAGUAUUACCAUAUAUGGCAUCAUUUUACUUGUAAUUAUCCCAUCAUACUGUAAUGCUUAAGUUACUUAACAUUUUGUUCUGUUCUUUCAUCCUUAACUCUUUGCUUCUGCACAGGCUAAGGGCUUUCCUGUUUUCUGCAGAUAGACUUUGGGGCUUUAAUUUCCUUUUGAAGUAGACAAUAAAGAGUUCCUCAACAUGAAAUGGAAAUGCUUCAACAUGAAAUGGAAAACAGACAGAAUCUCAACAGCUACAAUAAGAAAAAAAUCUCUAAGGUCUAUCUACUGAAGCAGAUUUGGGACUGGAGUUCAAGCUUACUAAAGGGAAGAUGACAGAAGGCAGCAGAGUUACUCCUCCCACUGGGGAGCUACUUCAUCCAAAACACAGGAGAGAGAGGGGCAAGUUGCAGUAGCCUGCACAGCUGAACGAGAACACUGCUGAUGAUCUGUAGGAGCCAGAAGCUGCUUGAAGAUCUCCCCUCAAGGCUUGCUGCUUAAAUAAAGGAUCUGAGGAAAGGCUGCCCUGGCUUCAGGGCCUGCUCAGAGCCUUGGUAGUGCUGGAUGCAGAGCACAGAGUUCCAGAGGUGAGCUGGAGCACAGAUCACUGCGGCUUAACGGGACGAGCUUAUGCCAAGUAAGUUUUUUGUAACUGUGAUUAUAUCACACAGUAUGU